rnacentral:misc_RNA from 1 species
GGCGAUGAAAGCAAAAGGCAGAGACUAGAGAGCUUCGUGACUCCUAAUUCUACUCCCAAUUUUUAGUCCUCCGUCUGCAUCGGCCAUCCUUCCCAUAAAGAAAUUGAACUCAAGAAAAAGCAUCUCCUAUGUCUACUUUGGGGAAUUCUACAAAUAUAUUUUGGCACGAAUGCCCAGUUGGGGAGUCUGAGAGGCAGAAACUACUUAACCAGAAGGGAUGUGUUGUAUGGAUAACGGGCCUUAGUGGAUCAGGUUUAUGUGAACUCAUUUCUUGUUACUUUCUGAUACAUAUUAGUUAUCUGGCAGUUGAGAAUUAGACUGUUUCAGCAAUUCAAAACGCUUUUUACUUUUCAUUUAAUUUUUUUUUAAAGGUCAGUCAGAAAGCUGAAUAUUUUUUAUGGGCUCUGUGUCCAGAUUUUGUGCAUUAAUGUAGCAAAGAUAAACUUUUUUCAUGUAACCAUUAAUGUAAUUUCUCAUAACUCAGAAAUUUUAUAUGGGCUUACAGUUGCUUGUUAUGCUUCAUGAGUGUAGGUUAGAAGUCACUCUUCUGGCCUUGGUGACUAUCAUUAUGUAAAAAAUAAUUGCUGAACCUUGUGGAUUGCUGAAUUGGAUACCACCUGUCCUAGCUUUUGCUUUCCUAGAAUAUAGAUGUCAUGAAUAAAGAUAAGUAUCUGAAUGUGGGAUGGAAUUGAAAUUUAAAGAUAUUUGCACCUCGGAGCAGCCAAAAGACUUUGUCCAAUAAAGGAGGAAGGGGUUAUCCUUAACAUCUUAGGCACCAAACACAACGUUGAGUGGUUGAAUUCAUUACUCAACCCACCAUAGGGUUAAGGUAUGGAGUGGGUACACUAACUCAAUUUUUGGCCCUCACUAUGUAUUGUAUUGUGUAUGUUCUUGUAAUUGAAAAAUCUUAGCAUAUUAUAGAGGCUUUUUGCUCAAAAUAAAUUUCUUUUGUGUAUUAAUCAUCAAUUUUGUAGUCUGCAUUAGACUUGGCCAUGGGCCGCUUCAGAGCAGGAACAGGCCAAAUCUGUGUUUAACUCAAACCAUGAAUGAAUAAGAAUUGAACCAAAACUGUCUAGCUUGGUUCCGCAUUGCCCGAUUUUUUUUAUGUUUAAAAAAUUGAAAAAAAUUGGUCCGUUGCAUUUGAAUCUUAACCAGAACCUUGACGGAUUACAGUUUAUGUUCACCCUUUUGGGUGAACUGGAGCUGGUUACUGGUCGGUUCACACUGGAACUGGCCCAGUGGCCAGGUCUAGUCCACAUAACUAUCAAGAAGUUGCACAGUCUUACUAUGACAUUGGCUUAUUAUGACAUAUAUUUUGAUGAAUGUCCUUUGGUGGUACAAAACUCAGUUUCCUUGUAAUUUUUGUGUCCUUUAUAGAUGCAGUAACUCUUCACAAACCUUUUGUCAACUUUUUCAGGUAAAAGCACACUGGCAUGCUCUCUAAGCAGGGAACUACACUCUAGGGGGAAGCUGUCCUAUGUUCUUGAUGGAGAUAACCUUCGUCAUGGGCUGAACAAAGGUCUGGGUUUCAGUGCUGAAGAUCGAACUGAAAAUAUCCGCAGGGUUGGUGAAGUAGCAAAACUCUUUGCAGAUGCCGGUUUGAUAUGCAUUGCUAGUCUGAUAUCACCAUACAGAAAAGAUCGGGAUGCUUGCCGUGCAAUGUUGACUGAUGCAAAUUUUAUUGAGGCAAGGUUCCUCAAUAAUGGCUCUUAUUAUGAGUUAGCAAAUUUUCUUGAAGAUGGAAUGUCAUUUUACUUGUAUCUGUACAGGUUUUCAUGAACAUGCCUCUGUCAUUGUGUGAGUUGAGAGAUCCUAAAGGCCUUUACAAGCUUGCACGUGCCGGAAAGAUUAAAGGUUUUACUGGCAUAGAUGAUCCUUAUGAACCACCUUUGAAUUGCGAGAUAGAAAUACAAGAGAAAGAUGGAGUUUGCCCCUCACCAUCUACCAUGGCUGGACAAGUAGUAUCCUACUUGGAAGACAAAGGAUUUCUACAUCAGUGAUCAACUCCACUAACUUUGCAUCAUCAUUGUCAUAAACUCGUCGAACAAAUAAUUUUUCAAGUGUUCAUGUCCUAUCCAUUUUAAAACUGCCUGGCUAAGGGUGCCAGCAAGUUCUAACGACAUCACGUGGGAUGUGUUUGGAACGGAUGAUAUAUAUUUCAAAUAGUACAUUUUGGUUGUUUUUCUAGACUGAUAGGGCACCAUUGAUACCGUUGAAUCAUGGAGACUUCUCUUAUCUGGGUUCAUUCCGAACAACCCAUUAUUCUGAUCAAAAUUUUCAUCUUAGAUAUUUACUCGUCCAAAUGGAUAUCAAUUGUAUUCAUCACAUUGAUUAUGAAUAUAAGUUAUACUUAAAUAUCGAAU